GAAGAGUUGACAAUUAUUUUCAUCCGUGGACAAGUUAACUUUUCGCCAGGAGACACCAAGUUAACAACAAGUUAGCUUUUCAAUUUGAAAAGAAAUCAUGAAUCCCAUCAGCUUCUUCCCCGGAAAGAUGACGGUGACAUUUAGGAAGGGACCAUCGGGUCAUCUGCGGCAGGACCCAUCCUCUGAGGCCAUGAGGAUAAAACAUAAUCCUGGGCUUCAGGUCAAUAGUCCCGCUGAGAAACAUGAGCUAGUGAAGACCAGCGCUCGCACUGUGGUCAUCCAGCGAGGAGGGGAUGUGUCGGACCGACAGGAGGUGAUGGGAGAGUACCUGCUGCAGUUCGGCAAGUACCAGGGAAAAUCGUUCAAGUGGCUCCUAGAGAACGAUGUUGGCUACACCAUCUACCUGAUGAAAAAGGAGCUUCCAGGAAAUACAGGACCUGAGGAACUACCUGAUCUCCAGGACGCCUACUGAACCAGUGGCGUCAGAGGGGGACAAUAUUGUCGGCUUUGGUCGCAGGGCCAAAACCACCUGGAGGCAGAUCUGGGAGAGCAGGGCAGAUGGUUAUGCUGCCUACAUCUCACGCCAAAAGUGCAUCAAAAACAGCAAGAUGUACAACCUGCAGCAGUACAUCCUCAAGCAGGAAAGGGCUGACUCCUGUCCAACACCUGCAGAAGGCUCCACCACAUCUCUUGCCUCCACCCCAACAUCAGGCACUCUAGAAGGCUCCAUCACAUCUACUGCCUCCACCACAUCUACUGCCUCCACCCCAACAUCAGGCACUCUAGGCCCACCAGCAGCAGUCCAGGGAAGAGCAGCUGUGGAUCCAACAAAAGGUUUUUCUUCAUUAGUGGAUGAUGGUAAGUGUUUUGUGUUAUAUGCAUGCUUCGUUUAAGCUGUCGUUCAAGGAUUUGGCGUGUGAAAUACCACAGAGGCUUAGAUACAGGUUCACAUGCUGCUAGACCUGCAGAACCGGAUGACCCCACUGUGACUGCUGCGAAAGCCACAGCGAAGGCCCUGUUGCCGGUCCCUGCCCAGCUGCUCGCCAUUGCCCCAGAGCUCGGGAUAAGAGAGCAGGAGCCCGAUGUGGUGAAACAAACACACAGAAAGGCAGUCUCCCGCAGUCCUUUGGAGUCUGUGAUAAGAGCAGGUCCAUCUCUUCCUAAAA
ensembl:lncRNA